rnacentral:rRNA from 1 species
UACGUAGGGUGCAAGCGUUGUCCGGAAUUAUUGGGCGUAAAGAGCUUGUAGGCGGUUUGUCGCGUCUGCUGUGAAAUUUCGGGGCUCAACCCCGAACUUGCAGUGGGUACGGGCAGACUAGAGUGUGGUAGGGGAGACUGGAAUUCCUGGUGUAGCGGUGAAAUGCGCAGAUAUCAGGAGGAACACCGAUGGCGAAGGCAGGUCUCUGGGCCAUAACUGACGCUGAGACGCGAAAGCAUGGGGAGCGAACAGG